AGAGCGAACGCUGGCGGCAGGCUUAACACAUGCAAGUCGAGCGCCCGUAGCAAUACGGGAGCGGCAGACGGGAGAGUAACACGUGGGAACAUGCCCUUCGGUUCGGAAUAACUCAGGGAAACUUGAGCUAAUACCGGAUACGUCCGUAAGGAGAAAGAUUUAUCGCCGAAGGAUUGGCCCGCGUCCGAUUAGCUUGUUGGUGAGGUAAUGGCUCACCAAGGCGACGAUCGGUAGCUGGUCUGAGAGGAUGAUCAGCCUCACUGGGACUGAGACACGGCCAGACUCUACGGAGGCAGCAGUGGGAAUAUGGACAAUGGGCGAAAGCCUGAUCCAGCAUGCGCGUGGUGAUGAAGGCCUUAGGGUUGUAAAGCCCGUUUCGGCGGGGAAGAUAAAUGACGGUACCCGCAGAAGAAGCCCGGCUAACUUCGUGCAGCAGCCGC
rnacentral:rRNA from 1 species